UCUUCUUUUAACUGUGUGGCAAAGACAGAGACAACAAUCCGAAUAAUUCUGCAGCCCGUUGGGAAUUUACAGUUGUUUGUCUAUUAGAGGAGUCUUUAGAGGAGUGAGAAAAUCAUCAUUGUCUUCUGCAGCUAGGAAGGAGAUCAGCUGGUGAUAACCCCACUGUGAGGACGCACGACAAAUAGUCCCUGUUUCCAUGCUGGUUUGGAGAUUCUGCCUAUCUGGAGCUGUUUUCGCUGUGUCCUGAAAGCCUGUCAGGGGAAGACUCCAGCUUCCAUGGCAUUAAAGCAUCAAAGGAGGCCGUCUGAUGUUCCGAGAACAGAGGAAGUCAUCAUACACAAUGGGCCAACACAACCCCAACACUCAGUCCCAAACCGAUCCAAUUAAUCAUGUAUGAUUCGGUUUGUAUCUCCUAGCAUACUCACAUAAUGGGAGUGAGAAAGUGAUAAAACAUUUCCCUUUUUCUCUUACCGUAUUUAUACUGCUGGAAAAAAUACCACACAUACAUUUGAAAUGUGCUUACAAUACUAUACAUACAAUGGUUAUUAUAGAUUGCCUGUGCCUUUAUCCCACUAAAGUCCUCUGUGUUUGAGAGUGAAAGAGGGCUUUAGAUCCAGAUAUUACAUUUGAAGAGUUUCUUAAGUGCUCUUUGUGUGUGUGUGUGUGUGUGUGUGUGUGUGUGUGUGUGUGUGUGUGUGUGUGUGUGUGUGUGUGUGUGUGUGUCUGUGUGUGUGUGUGUGUGUGUGUGUGUGUGUGUGUGUGUGUGUGUGUGUGUGUGUGUGUGUGUGUGUGUGUGUGUGUGUGUGUGUGGCUGUGUCUGUGUGUGUCUGUGUGUGUGCGCGUGUGCCCGUGUGUGUCGGCCCUGAAAGACCUGACUGUUUAAGUAAUAUGAAAUUCUCAUAAGAAUACAUUAUUGUGCCUCUAGGUUGCGGGGUGAAAACAUUGCAAAAGGUGUUGCAUCUUGCAUCCUUUUAUCCCUAGACAUCCCUAGUAGUUUGUGGUAUCGGACGAUGCAAUAUAUAUAUAUAUAUAUAUAUAUAUAUAUAUAUAUAUAUAUAUAUAUAUAUAUAUAUAUAUAUAUAUGUAUUUCCUUCACACAAAUGGUUUUGUGACAUGUGAAAUGUAAUCUAUGAGAGAGAGCAUCAAGGACAAACACAUGAGCCAGGCAAAUCACUAACCUAAGACUUAUGAUGGCUUGAAUGUAUUUUGACAGACCUUCACAUGUUUUAGUGAUGCUUGUUUUACUGUGGGAUUUAACCAGAUCAGCCAUGCUGCCCACUCACAUUAAGCCACUUCAUAGUGUAAUGAAGAGUGUGGUCGGUCUUUGAAUGUGAAUGGGGGCCACGCAUGCACGUGACAUCUCCUUAGCAGCUGUGUGCCCAGCAAGCGCACACUGGAGAAGUGCUCUGUGUCUUCGUCGGCGUCGGAUACAAUUUAAUAAUUUAAAGCAAUUAACACUGGCAAAGGCCGAGGCAUGCAGCGUCCAUCUUCCACUGAGUGUACUGCUGUUUGUGUCACAGAAGAAUCUCUGUUAUCCCAGCGCUCGCAGCUGGCUGCGAGGCAACGAAUGAGUAAUAUCAAAACCCACGUUACCAUGUUCAGUAAAUUGAUGCUGGCAAGGAGCCUGUGUUUAUCAGAGCCACCAUGAUAACAGACAUGCCUCACAUGUUUCUGUUUGUUUCAGCAUACAAGCAUACUAGCAUACUUUGCAUGUUCUAAAAACAGUGUUUGUUUCAGCAUACAAGCAUACUAGCAUACUUUGCAUGUUCUAAAAACAGGGUUGCGAGCCGAUUGUGGCACGCAGGUGUAACGGUUCUCGUCUGUCGAAGGAGAAGCGGACCAAAAUGCAGCGUGGUGGUUAUUCAUGUUCUUUAAUGAAAUGAACGAGACAUGAAAUAACGAACAAAACAAAGAACGAACGCGAAAACCUAUACAGCCUAUCUGGUGAACACAAACACAGAGACAGGAACAAUCACCCACAAAAUACUCAAAGAAUAUGGCUGCCUAAAUAUGGUUCCCAAUCAGAGACAACGAUAAACACCUGCCCUUGAUUGAGAACCACUCCAGACAGCCAUAGACUAUGCUAGAUACCCCUCACUAAGCCACACACCCAACACCUAACAACACCCCAAGACAAAACACACCACAAUAAACCCAUGUCACACCCCGGCCAGACCAAAUAAAUAAAGACAAACACAAUAUACUAUGACCAGGGCGUGACAGCAGGUGGUUUUCUGAGCAAAUUGUAUUUAUUUUUUAGCAUUUUCAUUGUUGGACAUACUGUGAAUGACACCAGGAAAUCGGCUCCAAGUGAUUUAAAUUGAGGAAAUCUGUUCCCAAGAAUGCACACGCGUAAUAGAGAGACACGUGAACGUAUACAAAUGUGAGCAAGAUAUUAUGAAAAUGAUGUUUUAGUCAAAUAUAUCUGUUUGGGUUUAUUGCAGUCAAUUUGUAGUCUACAAAUUAUUUGUUGUUAUGUUCCCCCCCCCCCCCCGAUCAUCCUCUCAAGAAAAAAAUCUAGUUGAUGAUUUUUGGCCUAAAACCACCUCUCUAUCCAUGUUACUAUACAAUUGCUUACCUUGGUUGUGGAUUUGACAAAUAGGCCUCAUCCAAGUACAAUAUAGACUACAAUCAGAAUCCCAAAUUAAUUAAUCCUCUAACUAUCACAUGGGUUAUCCUUAUUCAUAAAGUGGACACUGUGAAACAAACAUAUAUUCUGGUGUACCAUACGUUUGAUAUUGUUUUCUAUGGUAGAAUAGGUCAGGGCGUGACUAGGGGUUUUAGUCUAGUUUAUUAUUUCUAUGUGGGGUUCUAGGUUUAAUUUUCUAUGUUGGGGUUUGUGUGUGAUUCCCAAUUAGAGGCAGCUGGUAAUCGUUGUCUCUAAUUGGGGAUCAUACUUAAGUUGCAUUUUUAUUCAAUAUUGUUUAUGUUUAUUUGCCUGUUAGCACUGCAUUGUCG